rnacentral:rRNA from 1 species
AGGAGAAGGAGAAGAAGAGAAAAAACACUUGUUACCCGAGAUACCAGAUUUUUGACCGGUGAACGGGAGAACCGUGCAGCGUGGCGAGACGGUGGCCCCGCACAGAACCCGCAGCCCGCCCCGGCUGCUGUGUGUGUUCAAGUCCCCGUCUGGCUCCGGCCAUUUACGUCGCACACGUGGAUCGCGCCUGGACCUAUCCGCCCCGCCCCCUCCAAUCACCGAGCCGCCUCGUUUCUCUCGCCUCGUCACGCCCUCCGCUCCCUCUCAGUCAACAGCCGAUCUCCAAAAUUUCCUGCCCCUCCCCCUCCCCCUCCUCCUCGCUUCUCCAUCCUUCUCCUCCGAUCUCUCACCGGAGCCCGGCUCACCGAGCCCAAACCCCUAUUUAUACCCCGGGGAGGCAGAGCAGCAGCGUCACCCAUUCCCAGGGGCAGCCAGCCGAGACGUGGGAGGACUUCGGAGCGGGCCGCGGAGAUGGGCCUCGUCCACUGCCUCCCGCUGCUCCUGCUGCUGCUCUCGGCCGCGGCCGCGGCCGCGGGCGGCGGGGAGAGCGUCUCGGCCUCGGACUACGAGGCGCAGUUCGAGGCGUGGUGCGCGGAGCACGGCAAGGCGUACGCGACGCCCGGUGAGCGCGCGGCGCGGCUCGCGGCCUUCGCGGACAACGCGGCCUUCGUGGCGGCGCACAACGCCGGCGCCGCCGCCAACGGACCGGGAUCCCCGUCGUACACGCUCGCGCUCAACGCGUUCGCCGACCUCACCCACGACGAGUUCCGCGCCGCGCGCCUCGGGCGCCUCGCCGUCGGCCCGGGUCCCCUCGGGGCGGCUUUGCCGUCGGACGGGGGCUUCGAGGGCGGCGUGGUCGCCGUGCCCGACGCGCUCGACUGGAGGCAGAGCGGCGCCGUCACCAAGGUCAAGGACCAGGGCAGCUGCGGUGCUUGUUGGAGCUUCUCAGCUACAGGUGCCAUGGAAGGAAUAAACAAGAUCACGACAGGCUCUCUUCUCAGCCUUUCUGAACAGGAACUAAUCGAUUGUGACAGAUCCUACAAUGCUGGUUGUGGCGGUGGGCUCAUGACCUAUGCUUACAAGUUUGUGAUUAAAAAUGGUGGGAUUGACACGGAGGAUGAUUACCCGUUUCGUGAAGCGGAUGGAACAUGCAACAAGAACAAACUGAAAAAGCAUGUGGUAACAAUCGAUGGCUACAAGGAGGUGCCUCCUAGCAAGGAAGACUUGUUACUACAAGCUGUUGCCCAGCAACCUAUUAGCGUGGGAAUAUGUGGCAGCGCUAGGGCAUUUCAGCUAUACUCCCAGGGUAUCUUCGAUGGUCCAUGCCCAACGUCUCUUGAUCAUGCAGUCCUAAUUGUGGGAUAUGGUUCUGAAAACGGCAAGGAUUAUUGGAUUGUGAAAAAUUCUUGGGGUGAAAGAUGGGGAAUGAAGGGCUAUAUGCAUAUGCACCGAAACACUGGCUCGUCGUCAGGUAUCUGUGGCAUAAACAUGAUGGCAUCGUUCCCCACAAAAACAAGCCCGAAUCCUCCUCCUUCACCAGGGCCUGGCCCAACCAAAUGCAGCGCUUUUACCUCCUGCCCUGAAGGAUCCACAUGCUGUUGCUCAUGGCGUGCCUUGGGAUUCUGCCUUUCCUGGAGCUGCUGUGAGCUGGAUAAUGCAGUCUGCUGUAGCGAUAACCGUUCUUGUUGCCCCCAUGACUAUCCUAUAUGUGACACGGCUAGGGGACGCUGCUUGAAGGGUAAUGGCAACUUCUCCAGUAUAGAGGGAAUUAAGAGGAAGCAAGCUUUCUCCAAGGUUCCCUCUUGGAAUGGUUUGUUGGAGCUUUUGGAUCAAUAGACAUACAAAAAUGGUAUGGAUCACAGGCAGAUACACAUGUAUGCACGGUCUUGUACAAGCGGUGGGGUUCACUGCGUUCUUCAGGUGCCCUGCCGCCUCUAGCUGCUGGUUGUCUUGCACGGAGAUGUCCCAACGCGUUCAGUGAAAAAUAGAGAUGCCCAGAACUCCGAGAUUGAUUGUAGUGUGCACUGGUGAACCACGCAGCCGGUACUGUAUUGUAGUACGUAUAAUUUUAUGAUGAUUGUACAUGUCAGAUUAGCCUAUGAUGGGUUGAGCCAGAUAUUGGUUACACAGCACAGAUGGUCUAUUUUUACUCGGCUUGUAUUAGAUGUGAGAGAACCACCCAUAAUAAAGAGAUACGUGCAUCAAAU